ensembl:lncRNA
AUUCUCUCCCUCACAGUACCCAAGGAUUAACACCUGAACAACCAUCCUCACCUCCCUUUCCUCCUCAUUCCUCUCACUUCUUCCCACUCCGUAAUACUUUCCCACGUCACUCUGCUUCACUGCUUGUCUCCUGCAAUUGCCUGGCUUUAGAAACAGUUUUAUCUGAGCAGAACUAUGCCUCCUGUGGGAAGUGUAAAUAUAGAAAGAUGACAACAUGUGCAUUAAUGCUCGUUAGAAUGUCAUCAUUAUAUUCUGCAAAGUGUCUGCUGAAGGGAUCCCUAAAGGACACUUAGAAAUGAAGCAGCUGCUCCGGAUUUGUUCCAGCUCACAUCUCGAAGAAAAUGACAUUGAGAUAAAUACAGCAUUGUGAGCAUCUUCUGAGCAGAAGGAGAAAGAAGAGAGGGGAGGAUCUCCCCUUGUAGCAAUCCCAAAGCAGGACCAAGGCACGCUCAGAACUUCCUCACUCUCUGCCUAUUUAACAUUA